rnacentral:rRNA from 1 species
AUUGAACGCUGGCGGCAGGCCUAACACAUGCAAGUCGAACGAGUGGCGGACGGGUGAGUAAUGUCUGGGAAACUGCCUGAUGGCGGGGGAUAACUACUGGAAACGGUAGCUAAUACCGCAUACCAUCAGAAGUGCCCAGAUGGGAUUAGAUAGUUGGUGGGGUAACGGCUAACCAAGUCGACGAUCCCUAGCUGGGCUGAGAGGAUGACCAGCCACACUGGAACGGAGACACGGUCCAGACUCCUACGUGAGGCAUCAGUGGGGAGUAUUGUACAAUGGGCGCAAGCCUGAUACAGCCAUGCCGGGUGUAUGAAGAAGGCCUUCGGGUUGUAAAGUACUUUCAGCGGGGAGGCGUUACCCGCAGAAGAAGCACCGGCUAACUCCGUGCCAGCAGCCGCGGUAAUAC